AGAAACAGGCUUUCUAAUGAAACCCUGAACGGCUUGCUUCAUAGAAAGUUCCCAACUUUGCCAGCAAACAAUUGCUCAAUUUUAGAACCGAACAGUGUUAGGUUGCGUGCAGCAAAAGAAUAUAAAAGCAAUGCGUCGACUUCCUUGAAAAUUCUAAUCCUAUAGAUCUAUGAUCUUCUGGGGGCGUUUAUAUUAUAUAUACCUACAUUAAAUAAUAUGCUGUGGUUUAUUUUCUGUAUUUUAUUUAUGCUUUCUAUAUAAAGGAUUUAUGAAAGUUGUCUAGGAAAUUUUAGGGAUAAAUUCAAAAGAAACUAGGGUAAAAUGUGUUAAAAAAAACGUAAGUGGAAACACUGCUUUGAAGUUUUCAAAAUUCCAGGGCCGUAAAACAAUCUCAAAAAUAAAAAAAAAGUUUUCAAAAUGUCGUAACGAUUUAAUUUUUUAAAUCGUUUUUUUUGGUCUUGGUAAAGUUUAUUAUUAAAAAUCAGCAUGCCUCGAAGAUCGAAAAUGAAAUGCUAUUUCGGAUGCCUUGAUAACGACAAAGGUUUGAUAAUGACAAAAUUUUAUGGAAAAAUUAUAAGGAGCACUAAAAUGUCUGAAACAUGAAAAGAUUGAUGCACUAUAUUUGAACCAGAACGUGUUAUGUAAUAUAUUAAUUUAAGAGAAACUGAUUCAGCAAGGAAUGUGAACUCACAAGGGAUCUUAAUUUUUUUUAAAUAUGUUUAUAAUUUAUAAAUUAAUAAUUGAAAUAGUUCAUAAGAACUAAAUUGAUGCCAAUUUUGUUUUAAAAUAGGUUGUUUAGUUCUUAUAGUUAUACUAUUACGUUUGAAUAGUUGUAAUUAGUAAGUUAGUAAUAUAUGAAAAUACUGAUAUAAAUUUUUGUAAAUGACCUUUUAUAAAUUCUACGAGAAGAUGAUUUUAAUUAAUGAUCAAAAGUCAACGAUCUUCAAAAGCAUUAUUUGUAAUUAUUUAGAUUAACUGUGGAAUAUAUUUGCUAAGUUGUGUUUUCUGUAUGAGCAGAUAUAAAUGAAAAUGCCCAAACAUGAUUAUGUUUCUUACAUUUUCAUUAUGUGAAAUCAAUAUGCUUGUGACUGAGUAUAUUAAUAAUUUAUUAAAACUUAAGUGAUAGACAGCAACCCCUAUGACACUGCUGAAGUUUAUAAGCACUGGUGACCACUUAUCAUGAGCCGGGUUGUGUGCUCGUCUGCUGUUGAGUGCAAUAAAAAUUUUCGAGACCCUUUCUAUUAUUUAGAUGUAAUAUUAAUGUACAUCUAAUUUGGAUUAAAAGAUAAAUUUACAUUUUAUGUUUGCAUGUGUAUGUUUAUAAUUCAUUUGCAUGUAACGAACAUCAGUUUCUUUUGUAACAAAAUGCAAACUAAUGGUUUGUAAUGAAUGUAAUUAACUUUAAGAUGAUUUUCUUUCAAUCUGCUGUUUGUUUCAUCUAGUAUUACCAAAGCUAAAGCAUCAGAAACGUCAGAAUAGAAAUAAUUUAGAUAGGGAAUAAAAGUAUAACUAUUGUAAUCAUGUCUAAGAUUACUAUAAGUGUCAUUAAGUACAAACUAUCAAUAUUUAAGAGUACUUUAAAUCAUCAUUACAUUUUUUAAACAUUUUUUGUUUUUUUUUUGUUUUUCAAAUCAUGUAACAAAACGUUUGUGCAGAACAAAAUGUCACAUGUUAUGAACAUGAUUGUGGGUUAAUCGUUUCUUAAAUUUCUAAAUGUUUAUAAGAAUGCUAAGAAUAAUUUAGUAUUCACUUUAGUGUGUGUAUUAUCUCUACAAUGCUAGUUUAAAUGACAAUUAUUGUAUGACGAAGCAUAGGUAGUAUUUAUAGAUGUAAUAUUUUCAUACAAGGUCAUGAUCUGUCACGAUCAACUUUAAGCAAGAACUGCUAUCAUUAAGAAACAAAUUUAUUAAAUUUAAUUCAAAUUGUCUACUAUGUUUAUAAUGGAAAGCUGACAUGUUUAUAUUUCGCACAAAUGACUUAAUUGACAUUGAAUGAUUUGAUUAUCUAGACUUAAUUAACUUUUAGAUAACUUUCGAUUUAAUGUUAAUAAGUACGCUAGUAGGAUUAAUCUAGAGGAGUUAUUGUUAUUCGAAGUUUUAUACAAUUGUACGUUCAUACAAUCUUUUAACCGAAAAUUGUUUGUAAUAUAGGGAAAUUAAAUAGCUUACAGAGAA